rnacentral:rRNA from 1 species
AAAGCGAAUAGUGAAAUCUGGGGGGCUCAACCUCACAGGCUAUUAUUCGAACUCACUGACUCGAGAACAGCAGAGGUAACUGGAAUUUCUGAAGUAGGGGGUAAUAUCCGUAGAUAUCAGAAGGAACACCAAUGGCGUAGGCAGGUUACUGGGGCUGUUUCUGACACUGAGGCACGAAAGCGUGGGGAGCGAACGGGAUUAGAUACCCGGUAGUCCACGCCGUAAACGAUGGAUGCUA